GACGAACGCUGGCGGCGUGCUUAACACAUGCAAGUCGAACGGAAAGGCCCCUUUGUGGGUACUCGCUUGGCGAACGGGUGAGUAACACGUGAGUAACUUGCCCUUCACUUCCGUUUAACUUCCGGCAACUAGGGCUAAUUCCGGCUGGGUAUCCUUUCCGCCUGCUGGGGGGUGGAAAGCUUCGGGAGUUUUGGAUGGACUCGCGGCCUAUCAGCUUGUUGGUGGGGGAGUUGCUUACCAAGGCUUUCACGGGUAGCCGGCCUGGGAGGGCGACCGGCCACAUUGGGACUGAGAUACGGCCCAGACGCCUACGGGAGGCAGCAGUGGGGAAUAUUGCACCAUGGGCGGGAGCCUGAUGCAGCAACGCCGCGUGCGGGAUUACGGCCUUUGGGUUGUAAACCGCUUUCAGCAGGGGCGAAGCUUGUGGUGACGGUACCUGGAGAAGAAGCACCGGCUAACUACGUG
rnacentral:rRNA from 1 species